rnacentral:rRNA from 1 species
CUGCUGCCUUCCGUAGGAGUCUGGGCCGUAUCUCAGUCCCAAUGUGGCCGGCCAACCUCUCAGUCCGGCUACUGAUCGUCGCCUUGGUGGGCCGUUACCCCACCAACUAGCUAAUCAGACGCGAGUCCAUCUCUCAGCGAUAAAUCUUUGAUAUAAGUGCCAUGCGGCACCUAUAUGUUAUGCGGUAUUAGCAGUCGUUUCCAACUGUUGUCCCCCUCUGAAAGGCAGGUUACUCACGCGUUA